rnacentral:rRNA from 1 species
UAGUCCACGCCGUAAACGAUGGCCACUAGCUGUGUGGAUUUCGGUCUGCGUGGCUAAGCGAAAGUGAUAAGUGACCCACCUGGGGAGUACGUUCGCAAGAAUGAAACUCAAAGGAAUUGACGGAGGCCCGCACAAGCGGAGGAACAUGUGGUUUAAUUCGAUGAUACGCGAGGAACCUUACCUGGACUUAAAUGUGCGUUGCAUAGAUCAGAGAUGGUCUUUUCUUCGGACUACGUACAAGGUGCUGCAUGGUUGUCGUCAGCUCGUGCCGUGAGGUGUCGGGUUAAGUCCCAUAACGAGCGCAACCCUUAUCCUUAGUUGCCAGCGGGUCAUGCCGGGGACUCUGAGGAGACUGCCACCGUAAGGUGUGAGGAAGGUGGGGAUGACGUCAAAUCAGCACGGGCCCUUAUGUCCAGGGGCUACACACGUGUUACAAUGGACGGUACAAAGGGCAGCUACCUGGUGACAGGAUGCUAAUCUCUAAAGCCGUUCUCAGUUCGGAUCGAA